rnacentral:rRNA from 1 species
GACGAACGCUGGCGGCGUGCUUAACACAUGCAAGUCGAGCGGUAAGGCCCUUUCGGGGGUACACGAGCGGCGAACGGGUGAGUAACACGUGGGUGACCUGCCCUCAGCUCUGGGAUAAGCCUGGGAAACCGGGUCUAAUACCGGAUAUGACUCCAUGACGCAUGUUGUGGGGUGAAAGCCUUGUGCGGCUGAGGAUGGGCCCGCGGCCUAUCAGCUUGUUGGUGGGGUGAUGGCCUACCAAGGCGACGACGGGUAGCCGGCCUGAGAGGGCGACCGGCCACACUGGGACUGAGACACGGCCCAGACUCCUACGGGAGGCAGCAGUGGGGAAUCUUGCGCAAUGGGGCGAAAGCCUGACGCAGCGACGCCGCGUGAGGGAUGACG